UACGUAGGGGGCAAGCGUUGUCCGGAAUCACUGGGCGUAAAGGGUGCGCAGGCGGCCAUGCGUGUCAGGCGUGAAAGCCCGAGGCUCAACCUCGGAAUUGCGCCUGAAACUACAUGGCUAGAGUACUGGAGAGGGUAGCGGAAUUCAUGGUGUAGCAGUGAAAUGCGUAGAUAUCAUGAGGAACACCAGAGGCGAAGGCGGCUACCUGGACAGUUACUGACGCUCAGGCACGAAAGCGUGGGGAGCAAAAGGG
rnacentral:rRNA from 1 species